AAUCAACGCUGGCGGCGUGCCUAACACAUGCAAGUCGAACGCGAAAGUCUCUUCGGAGGCGAGUAGAGUGGCGUACGGGUGAGUAACGCGUGGGUAAUCUGCCCUUGGGUGGGGAAGUAACCAGUCGAAAGAUUGGCUAAUACCGCAUAAUGCAGCGGCUCGAUAUCGAGACAGUUGUUAAAGCAGCAAUGCGCCUGAGGAGGAGCCUGCGGCUGAUAGCUUGUUGGUGAGGUAAUGGCUCACCAAGGCUGCGAUCAGUAGCUGGCCUGAGAGGACGGCCAGCCACAAUGGCACUGGAACACGGGCCAUACUCCUACGGGAGGCAGCAGUGGGGAAGUCUUGCGCAAUGGGCGAAAGCCUGACGCAGCCAUGCCGCGUGAAUGAUGAA
rnacentral:rRNA from 1 species